UCUCCCCCAUGCUGAUGCGACACCAGAGGCGAACCGCAUCCCAGGCUUGGCACACAUGAUGGCAGAACAAGCCAAGGGCAAAGGUAUUGCACUCCUUUUCUCCUGAGCUGUGCUGUGAUUGAGCUCUGCUGUGUGUUUGCUUUCUGCAUGUACUGUAGUGUUCCUCACUUAUGGCUGCGUGUGUACCUGGAUU